AUUGAACGCUAGCGGCAGGCCUUACACAUGCAAGUCGAACGAGUGGCGGACGGGUGAGUAAUGUCUGGGAACCUGCCCGGUGGAGGGGGAUAACUACUCGAAACGGUAGCUAAUACCGCAUACCAUCAGAUGUGCCCAGAUCGGAUUAGCUAGUUGGUGGGGUAACGGCUCACCAAGGCGACGAUCCCUAGCUGGUCUGAGAGGAUGACCAGCCACACUGGAACUGAGACACGGGCCAGACUCCUACGGGAGGCAGCAGUGGGGAAUAUUGAACAAUGGGCGCAAGCCUGAUGCAGCCAUCCCGCGUGUAUGAAGAAGGCCUUCGGGUUGUAAAGUACUUUCAGCGGGGAGGCGUUAUCUGCAGAAGAAGCACCGGCUAACUCCGUGCCAGCAGCCGCGGUAAUUC
rnacentral:rRNA from 1 species